CACGUAGGGCGCGAGCGUUGUCCGGAAUUAUUGGGCGUAAAGAGCUCGUAGGCGGCCUGUUGCGUCCGCUGUGAAAGCCCGGGGCUUAACCCCGGGUCGGCAGUGGAUACGGGCAGGCUAGAGGUAGGUAGGGGAGAAUGGAAUUCCCGGUGUAGCGGUGAAAUGCGCAGAUAUCGGGAGGAACACCGGUGGCGAAGGCGGUUCUCUGGGCCUUACCUGACGCUGAGGAGCGAAAGCGUGGGAGCGAACAGG
rnacentral:rRNA from 1 species